GGUUAACAUGGAAAGAGGUGAAAGCCCUUGCCAGAAACAGAGAUGAAUGCAGGGGACUGUAGACUAUGUUAAGAGCAGAGCCGGUACCAUCACAGUGCCUGGAUACAUAUACUUAGAUUGUUGGUUAUUAAGGAGAGCUGAUUACAAACACCUCAUGGGGUUUGGUGUUUUCUGCUUGCCAAAAGCUUUUCUGCCAAAGAUGAAACAUUGUUUUGUGUUUUUUUUAUCGGAUCUACACUGAUACAAUAUAAGACAAGAUUACAAGAUAAAAAACAGAUAUAGCCUCUUGUGUUCAGAAAAAAGAGAUAUUGGCGAAUAAUAUUCAAAAUCUUGAUUUAAUGUAUAAAUGUAGUAAUAUACUUCCCAAAGUAUUGUUAAUAUUAAAUGUUGUUUAUGUUG
rnacentral:lncRNA from 1 species